AGGAGGACUUGGAGGAGGCUUUGGACAAGGUGGUGGACAUGGAGGAGGACUUGGACAAGGUGGUGGACUUGGAGGACUUGGAAGUGGCAUCAGUUAUGGUGAAGGACAUUCAUCUCAUCAAUUCCAUACUCUCCCAAAUUGUCUUUAUAUUUGCUCCUUGAAACACUGUAAUCCUGUUAAAUGUCAUUACAAAUGCGUGCCUAAAGCAACAUGCUUACCCGCAGGAAGUGGAGGAAUAUGGGGACGUAAAGGAUCAGGAUCUACUGGUAACAAUGAACUGGAACUCACGAAGCCUGUUUCGGAAAAAGUAGAAACUUUUGAAUACAAAACUGAAGCUUAAGAGAAAUCCUGUAUGAAGCAUUUCGACUUAAGCUAAAAUGUCAACUUUUAAUUUUUAACUUAAAAUCGGAUCACAUUUAUGCUCUGUGCGAGAAGACUCAGAUAUUUCGUUGAAUGUAAUUCCUACAAAAUGAACUGUAUAUAAAAUUUGUCGUACUUUGUUAAAUAAAUACGCCUUAACUACAUACCCAAAAA